AUGUGGGACGGUCCGCCAUGUGGGACGGACUCAUGUGGGACGGACUGUCACGUAGGACAGACUGCCAUGUGUGACGGACUGUCAUGUGGGACGGACUGCCAUGUGGGACGGACUGUCAUGUGGGACGAACUGCCACGUGGGACGGACUGCCACGUGGGACGGACUGCCAUGUGGGACGGACUGCCAUGUGGGACGGACUGCCAUGUGGGACGGACUGCCAUGUGGGACGGACCGUCAUGUGGGGCGGACUGUCACGUGGGACGGACUGCCAUGUGGGACGGACUGUCACGUGGGACGGACUUUCACGUGGGACGGACUGCCAUGUGGGGAGGACUGCCACGUGGGACGAACUGCCAUGUGGGACGGGGACGGACCGCCAUGUGGGACGGACUGUCACGUGGGACGGACUGUCACGUGGGACGGACUGCCAUGUGGGGAGGACUGCCACGUGGGACGAACUGCCAUGUGGGACGGGGACGGACCGCCAUGUGGGACGGACUGUCAUGUGGGACGGACUGCCAUGUGGGAAGGAUUGCCAUGUGGGACGGACUGGUGGGGGUGGUGGUGGGGGUGGUGGUGGAGGUGGUGGUAGUGUUGGUGGUGGAGGUGGUGGUAGUGUUGGUGGUGGAGGUGGUGGUAGUGUUGGUGGUGGAGGUGGUGGUAGUGUUGGUGGUAGUGGAGGUGGUGGUGGAGGUGGUGGUGGAGGUGGUGGUGGAGGUAGUGGAGGUGGUGGUGGAGGUGGUGGUGGAGGUGGUGGUAGUGUUGGUGGUGGAGGUGGUGGUAGUGUUGGUGGUGGUGGAGGUAGUGGAGGUGGUGGUGGAGGUGGUGGUGGGGGUGGUAGUGGAGGUGGUGGUGGGGGUGGUAGUGGAGGUGGUGGUGGAGGUGGUGGUAGUGUUGGUGGUGGAGGUGGUGGUAGUGUUGGUGGUGGAGGUGGUGGUAGUGUUGGUGGUGGUGGUGGUGGAGGUGAUGGUGGAGGUGGUGGUGGUGGAGGUGGUGGUGGAGGUGGUGGUAGUGUUGGUGGUGGAGGUGGUGGUAGUGUUGGUGGUGGAGGUGGUGGUAGUGUUGGUGGUGGAGGUGGUGGUAGUGUUGGUGGUGGAGGUGGUGGUAGUGUUGGUGGUGGAGGUGGUGGUAGUGUUGGUGGUGGUGGUGGUGGAGGUGAUGGUGGAGGUGGAGGUGGUGGUGGUGGAGGUGGUGGUGGAGGUGGUGGUAGUGUUGGUGGUGGAGGUGGUGGUAGUGUUGGUGGUGGAGGUGGUGGUAGUGUUGGUGGUGGAGGUGGUGGUAGUGUUGGUGGUGGAGGUGGUGGUAGUGUUGGUGGUGGAGGUGUUGGUGGUGGAGGUGGUGGAGGUGGUGGUAGUGUUGGUGGUGGAGGUGGUGGUAGUGUUGGUGGUGGAGGUGGUGGUAGUGUUGGUGGUGGAGGUGUUGGUGGUGGAGGUGGUGGUGGGGGUGGUAGUGGAGGUGGUGGAGGUGGUGGUAGUGUUGGUGGUGGAGGUGGUGGUAGUGUUGGUGGUGGAGGUGGUGGUAGUGUUGGUGGUGGAGGUGGUGGUAGUGUUGGUGGUGGAGGUGGUGGUAGUGUUGGUGGUGGAGGUGGUGGAGGUGGUGGUAGUGGAGGUGAUGGAGGUGGUGGAGGUGGUGGAGGUGAUGGAGGUGGUGGAGGUGGUGGUGGAGAUGGUGGGGAUAAUGUAUUUAUAUUUUUUAUUGAACCUUUAUUGA
ensembl:lncRNA